rnacentral:rRNA from 1 species
GAUGAACGCUGGCGGCGUGCCUAAUACAUGCAAGUCGAGCGAACAGACGAGGAGCUUGCUCCUCUGACGUUAGAGGCGGACGGGUGAGUAACACGUGGAUAAACUACCUAUAAGACUGGGAUAACUUCGGGAAACCGGAGCUAAUACCGGAUAAUAUAUUGAACCGCAUGGUUCAAUAGUGAAAGACGGUUUUGCUGUCACUUAUAGAUGGAUCCGCGCCGCAUUAGCUAGUUGGUAAGGUAACGGCUUACCAAGGCAACGAUGCGUAGCCGACCUGAGAGGGUGAUCGGCCACACUGGAACUGAGACACGGUCCAGACUCCUACGGGAGGCAGCAGUAGGGAAUCUUCCGCAAUGGGCGAAAGCCUGACGGAGCAACGCCGCGUGAGUGAUGAAGGUCUUCGGAUCGUAAAACUCUGUUAUUAGGGAAGAACAAAUGUGUAAGUAACUAUGCACGUCUUGACGGUACCUAAUCAGAAAGCCACGGCUAACUACGUG